GACAAACGCUGGCGGCGUGCCUAACACAUGCAAGUCAAGGAGAAUGGGGUUUUUCGGAAUCCCUAGUAAACUGGCGUAAGGGUGAGUAACGCGUAGGCAAUCUGCCCUGCAGUGUGGAAUAACAUCGGGAAACCGUUGCUAAUACCGCAUGAUGUCCAGAAAACUCAUGUUUUUUGGACCAAAGGGGGCUCCGACUUGUCGGAGUACCGCUGUGGGAUGAGCCUGCGUCCUAUUAGUUUGUUGGUAGGGUAACGGCCUACCAAGACUACGAUGGGUAGCUGGUCUGAGAGGAUGGUCAGCCACACUGGCACUGAGAUACGGGCCAGACUCCUACGGGAGGCUG
rnacentral:rRNA from 1 species